rnacentral:snRNA from 2 species
AUUGCUUCUCAGCCUUUUGGCUAAGAUCAAGUGUAGUAACUGGCUGGGGUGAAGCAGGAGGAUGGGAUCCAAGUGGAAUAUGGCUAACUUCAAAGGAAUCUGUCAUAUUUUAUCUCUUAAGCUAUACAGUGGAUUUAUGAAUAUUCGUUUUAUUUUACGUUAUAUAAUUUAUAUAUGCUACACUUAUUAUUUUGUAUAAAUAAAA